GGGGUUCUCACAAACCCUAGGUCCCUAAGCCUUUUCUAUUCCCCGUGCGCUGUGCAGCCAUGCGGCCGUGUCGUGCGAGGGCUUGGAGUUGGAAGCACCGAGCACGCGAGUCCGAGAGGAGGGGAAGAUCGCCGCGGAUAGGAGGAGGGGAAGAAGAUCGCCCCGAGUCUGAGAGGAGGGGAAGACGAAGAUCACCGCAGUUAGGAGGAGGGGAAGAUCGCCGUGUUCUUCCGAUGAAGUGAGAGCUUCGUUACUUUUUUUCCUUCUUUGUGAAGUUGUUGCUCUUCUGGUCCUCGGUGUUCUCCGAUUCCGGCUUCUUUCUUCGGUGGAGUGAGAGCUUGGAACCCUAGGAUCGUCAGAUCGGACGGCGGAUCGGCCCAGAAAAUAGAGUUGAGAACCGUUUCUUGGAUAGGAGAGGUGGAAGCUCCUGGAAUUAGCUGGAUCUCUCAUUGCCGAAAGCAAUUCCAUUUACUUGGAUCUUAAAUAAGAUUAUCAUCUACCUCAUGUUUGUGAAUGUCUGCACUGUAAUACUAAUUUGUUAAAAGAUAGAGAUUGUACCAAUAAGCUGCAACCUUACUUCAGUGAAGCGUGUCCUUUGCAGGCAAAAAUUCUCAAGGUGAAAUUGUUGUUAACAUUGAAAGACUACUCAAGUGCUAUUUCAGAGACUGGAUACAUACUUAAACAAGAUGAAGAUAAUUUGGAGGCACUACUGCUUCGUGGCCAUUCUUAUUAUUAUCUCUCAGACCAUGAUGUUGCUACAUGGUUUGACUUAUGAAAAUUCCUAUACAGAAUUACAGAUAUAUGUAAAAGGUUUCAAACCUUGUGUCAUAUGUGUACUCUUUUGCACUUUGCUGCAAUGAUGUUCUCCUUUUAUUUAAGCUGCAGUUAUUAGCUCAACUCUGCAGAUUAUCACUUCCAAACAUUUGCAAUGUCUAA